rnacentral:rRNA from 1 species
GGUGAUGGAUCGGGCUGGUGCCCAAUUUUCGCCGUUUGUUGGCCCAUUUGCCGGUAAUCCUCAAAUUGACUCGCAAGCCAGUAAGUCGGUCGGACCGGUGGGGCUGCAAAGCGGCUUCAGUUCCUCAGCAAUGCCCCCCCGCCCCAUGCCCGUACCUCGGGGGAAGUUUGUGAGGCAGCUAUCUUUUUCCUGACCGGCGGUUGACUCAAGUCGUAACGAGGUAACCGUAAACCCAGGCAACGAUCCAUACCUGGUUUGAGAGGAUGAUCAACCACACUGGAACUGACACACGGUCCAUACUCCUACCGGAGGCAGGAAUGGGGAAUAUUGAACAAUGGGCGAAAGCCUGAUCCAUCCAUGCCUGGUGUGUGAAGAAGGACUUCCGAUUGUAAAGCACUUUAUUUUGGGAGGAAGGAAGGUAAGUUAAUACCUUGCUGUUUUGACUGUCCCGACCGAAUAAACACCGGCUAACUCUGUGC